UGUUUGUGAUAGUGUUUUCUUAUCCCCAGACAUGAAAACAGGAUUUUAAUGCUUGUACCCCAUAAUAUAUGGUGCCCAAGUUUGGCUAUUCUGUGACAUUU